rnacentral:lncRNA from 1 species
AUGAAAGAAAAGGUGGCACUUGAAAGACAACUCAGUUAUGGUAUAUCCAAGGGUAGGAGACCCUUGUUUUUGGAGUUGGAGAUUAGGGUUUGCGGCAAUUUGCUGCUGUCUUUAUUUGCCUCCACCGCCAUUUGUUUGUCUUGCAUAGUUGCAAACUUUGCAUUCAUUCAUUGAUAUAGUAAUCUGGUUAUUAAAUUAAAACUAACUGAGACUUUCUUUACCAGAUAACCCUAUUUAUUAAUUAUAGGCCUCAUGCAUGUUGCUUACUCAACAUGUACGACGCGUGACUUCAAUCCAAAGAGAAAUGUUACUCGAUCGUGAUAUAUAUAUUAUUGACCAAAAUUUAAGCCACGGGAACAAACUUGGUUUUUACCUGAAUUAAGACUCAAAAGUUUGCUUUGACAAUUGAAAGCACGUUCUUGGGAUUGAGAAAUUUUUGUAUGUUCUAAGUACACCACACGUUGUUGGGAUUUAAACCAGCUGCAUAUUUUGAAUUCUUUUUAUUUUUAAAACUAAGGGACCAAAUCAGAAAAUGGCUGGACCGAUCAAUCACAUUUUUAUUUCAUAUUUUUAUAUCACUUUACAUGAGAGAUGAAGUAGACAAUUAAAUCAAUUAAAAAGUAUCAAUAAAUCAUAAAAGAAAAGAAAAUAUUAAAUUAAUUUUAAUUGAUAAGUUUUCUACCUUAUUUGUCACAUAAAAUGAUAUGAGAAUGUAAUAAGAGUAGCAUUAUUCUUUUUUGUAUAAAGCCCAACCAUUAGCUUUGUCCUUUCUUCUUCUUUUGAUUUUUUGUCGGUAGGGUUUGUUUUGUCUUGUCUUGUUGCAUUGUCUCUUCUCUUCUUUUCCUUAGGCUUGUUUGUUUUUCAGUAUUAGUAAUGAAUUUGAUCAUUGAAACUCUCCAUGGUUUGGAAAGUUUUCUAAUUAUAUUCACAAUCAUAACCCAAAAGAACGCUGGAAGUUGUAAAAUCAUGCUAAUUAAUCACACAUUUUUGUUUGGUAAUUAUAACAACUAAUUUAGAUAUGGUAAAGAAAUUGUAUUUUUCACAGAAAUUCAACCAAAAAAGCAAUGCGGCUUAA